CCUUUCUCAUGGUCGCACCUGGAGAGUUUCAAGUACUCUACCAGUCUCGACUACGGGAGGGAGAGUCAAGCAGAGGCAUACUCAUUCCAUUCCUAGCUUGGGCAGUGGCUAGUGAGGGGAAGGGAAUCUUCUACAAGU
rnacentral:snoRNA from 1 species